rnacentral:rRNA from 1 species
CCUACGGGAGGCAGCAGUGAGGAAUAUUGGUCAAUGGCCGGAAGGCUGAACCAGCCAUGCCGCGUGAAGGUCAGUGCCCUAUGGGCUUUAAACUUCUUUUGUGCGGGAGCAAUAAUGGUCACGUGUGGCCAGACGAGAGUACCGUACGAAUAAGCAUCGGCUAACUCCGUGCCAGCAGCCGCGGUAAUACGGGGGAUGCAAGUGUUAUCCGGAGUUAUUGGGUUUAAAGGGUGCGUAGGCUGGGAGGUAAGUCAGCGUGGAAAUUCCCCCGCUCAAGGGGGUGAAGUGCAAUUGAUACUGGCUUGCUUGAAUGCGGAUGAGGUGGGAGGAAUGUGUGGUGUAGCGGUGAAAUGCAUAGAUAUCAGACAGAACACCGAUUGCGAAGGCAUCUCACGAAUCCGCGAUUGACGCUGAUGCACGAAAGCGUGGGUAUCAAACAGGAUUAGAUACCCCUGUAGUC